rnacentral:rRNA from 1 species
GAUGAACGCUGGCGGCGUGCCUAAUACAUGCAAGUCGAACGGGAGGUAGCAAUACCUCUAGUGGCGAACGGGUGAGUAACGCGUUGGUGACCUGCCCCGAAGUGUGGGAUACCAGUUCGAAAGGACUGUUAAUACCGCAUGUGGUUGUAAGGAUUAGAGGCUUUGCAACUAAAGGAUUAUAUUCGCUUCGGGAGGGGCCUGCGUCCCAUCAGCUAGUUGGUAAGGUAACGGCUUACCAAGGCGAUGACGGGUAGGGGACCUGAGAGGGUGAUCCCCCACAAUGGAACUGAAACACGGUCCAUACACCUACGGGUGGCAGCAGUAGGGAAUAUUGCAAAAUGGGCGCAAGCCCGAUGCAGCAACGCCGCGUGGGCGAUGAAGGCCUUCGGGUCGUAAAGCCCUUUUUGAGGGGAUGAGGAAGGACAGUACCCUCAGAAUAAGCCUCGGCUAACUACGUGCCAGCAGCCGCGGUAAAACGUAGGAGGCGAGCGUUAUCCGGAUUUACUGGGCGUAAAGCGCGUGCAGGCGGAUUGGAAAGUUGGAUGUGAAAGCUCCCGGCUUAACUGGGAGAGGUCGUUCAAAACUUCCAGUCUUGAGUGCAGUAGAGGGAAGUGGAAUUCCGGGUGUAGUGGUGAAAUGCGUAGAUAUCCGGAGGAACACCAGUGGCGAAAGCGACUUCCUGGACUGUAACUGACGCUCAGACGCGAAAGCUAGGGUAGCAAACGGGAUUAGAGACCCCGGUAGUCCUAGCUGUAAACGAUGUAGACUUGGCGUAGGAGGGUUUAAAUCCUUCUGUGCCGAAGCAAACGCGAUAAGUCUACCGCCUGGGGACUACGGCCGCAAGGUUA